GUGUGUCUGUAUGUGUGUGUGUAUGUGUGUAAAUGUGUCUGUAUAGCUGCAUCUGUAUGAGUGUGUAUAUCGGUGUAUCUGCCAGUGUUUCUGUGUGUGUGUGUUUGUGGCAGUGCAUGUGUAUAUGUGCAUACAUCUUAGCAUUUAAACGCCAACACUACACGCAAAUACACACCUGCAUUCAAACUUCAACACUACAUAUAAACACAUCUCUUUUUUUUAAAUAACACAAUUAUAUAUAAACACGCCAGUGCAUUCAUAAACCAACACUACACAUAAAUGCAUGCUUGCAUUCAAAUGCCAUCUCCACAAACACAACCCGACAUUCACACAAACAUACUCCAUACAAAAACAUGCUUACACUCAAACACACAAAUCCCACUCAGUGCUAAAUACAACCAUUCAUGGGAAAAUGGUAGAGCCCUAGCUGUCAAAGCAUUGUUGGAGUUGCACGACAGAUGGGGAUCUACCUUUUUCCCCCUCUUGCCCAAAAUAAUUCAUGCACCAGAGCCCUCUCUACUUUAUGUCCGCCUUUGCGUUGGGAUGGGGAGCUUGAUUGCAUGCCAGGGAGGGGAUAACAGGGUUCAGGGGGCCCAAGCAAAUGUUUGCCCACACCACACUUUACACACACACAAUCCCACAAGCAGGCUCCAAACAUAUGCACCAUACACUUUCCUGGCCCUUUUCUCCUUUGGUAUCCCACUUGUGGAGACACCAGAGACAAUUUAAAAGCAAACACAGCGCAAGCAUGUUAUUAAAUUUGCUU